ACGGGGUGCAGCAGGCGCGAAAACUCCGCAAUGGGCGAAAGCCCGACGGGGUUACCCCGAGUGCCACCCUCGUGGUGGCUUUUCCCCGCUGUAAGAAGGCGGGGGAAUAAGCGGGGGGCAAGUCUGGUGUCAGCCGCCGCGGUAAUACCCGCUCCCCGAGUGGUGGAGGCUAUUACUGGGCCUAAAGCGCCCGUAGCCGGCCCGGCAAGUCGCUCCUGAAAUCCCCGGGCUCAACCCGGGGGCGGGGGGCGAUACUGCCGGGCUUGGGGGUGGGAGAGGCGCCCGGUAUUCCCGGGGUAGGGGUAAAAUCCUCUGAUCCCGGGAGGACCAUCAGUGGCGAAGGCGGGGCGCCAGAACACGCCCGACGGUGAGGGGCGAAAGCUGGGGGAGCAAACGGGAUUAGAUACCCCGGUAGUCCCAGCUGUAAACGAUGCGGGCUAGCUGUCGGGGCGGCUACGGGCCGCCCCGGUGGCGAAGGGAAGCCAUUAAGCCCGCCGCCUGGGGAGUACGGCCGCAAGGCUGAAACUUAAAGGAAUUGGCGGGGGAGCAC
rnacentral:rRNA from 1 species